GACGAACGCUGGCGGCGUGCCUAAUACAUGCAAGUUGAGCGCUGAAGGUUGGUACUUGUACCAACUGGAUGAGCAGCGAACGGGUGAGUAACGCGUGGGGAAUCUGCCUUUGAGCGGGGGACAACAUUUGGAAACGAAUGCUAAUACCGCAUAAAAACUUUAAACACAAGUUUUAAGUUUGAAAGAUGCAAUUGCAUCACUCAAAGAUGAUCCCGCGUUGUAUUAGCUAGUUGGUGAGGUAAAGGCUCACCAAGGCGAUGAUACAUAGCCGACCUGAGAGGGUGAUCGGCCACAUUGGGACUGAGACACGGCCCAAACUCCUACGGGAGGCAGCAGUAGGGAAUCUUCGGCAAGAGACGAAAGUCUGACCGAGCAACGCCGCGUGAGUGAAGAAGGUUUUCGGAUCGUAAAACUCGGUUGGUAGAGAAGAACGUUGGUGAGAGUGGAAAGCUCAUCAAGUGACGGUAACUACCCAGAAAGGGACGGCUAACUACGUG
rnacentral:rRNA from 1 species